CCUGGCUCAGAAUGAACGUUGGCGGCGUGGAUUAGGCAUGCAAGUCGAGCGCUCAUCAGCAAUGGUGGGAGCGGCGAACGGCGUAGUAAGGUGUAGGAACGUACCCUCAGGUCGAGGAUAGCUAUGGGAAACUGUAGGUAACACUCGAUGAUCUCUGCGGAGCAAAGGUGAGAUUCCGCCUGAGGAGCGGCUUACAUGAUAUUAGCUAGUUGGUGAGGUAAUGGCUCACCAAGGCGUAGAUGUCUAGGGGGUGUGAGAGCAUGGCCCCCACGACCGGAACUGAGACACUGUCCGGACACCUACGGGUGGCUGCAGUCGAGAAUCUCCCGCAAUGGACGAAAGUCUGACGGAGCGACGCCGCGUGCGGGAAGAAGGUACUUCGUAUUGUAAACCGCUGUCAGGGGGGAUGAAAUCUCCGGGGGCUAUCCCCUGGAGUUGACAGAGCCCCAGAGGAAGCACGGGCUAAGUAUGUGCCA
rnacentral:rRNA from 1 species